rnacentral:rRNA from 1 species
CCUACGGGGGGCAGCAGUGGGGAAUAUUGGGCAAUGGGCGCAAGCCUGACCCAGCAACGCCGCGUGAAGGAAGAAGGCCCUCGGGUUGUAAACUUCUUUUAACAGGGACGAAGAAAGUGACGGUACCUGUUGAAUAAGCCACGGCUAACUACGUGCCAGCAGCCGCGGUAAUACGGAGGUGGCAAGCGUUAUCCGGAUUUACUGGGUGUAAGGGGCGGGUGGGCGGGAGGGAAAGUCAGACGUGAAAUUCCAGGGCUAAACCCUGGAACUGCGUUUGAAACUGUUCUUCUUGAGUGAUGGAGAGGCAGGCGGAAUUCGGUGUGUAGCGGUGAAAUGCGUAGAUAUA